GCUCACCAGCAGCGAUCGUAGCUGUCUGAGAGGAUGAUCAUCACAUCGGGACUGAGACACGGCCGAAUUCUACGGGAGGCAGCAGUGGGAAUAUUGGACAAUGGGGCAACCCUGAUCCAGCCAUGCCGCGUGUGUGAAGAAGGCCCUCGGGUUGUAAAGCACUUUCAGCGAGGAAGAACGCCUAGUGGUUAAUACCCAUUAGGAAAGACAUCACUCGCAGAAGAAGCACCGGCUAACUCCGUGCCAGCAGCCGCGGUAAUACGGAGGGUGCAAGCGUUAAUCGGAAUUACUGGGCGUAAAGCGCGCGUAGGUGGCUUGAUAAGCCGGUUGUGAAAGCCCCGGGCUCAACCUGGGAACGGCAUCCGGAACUGUCAGGCUAGAGUGCAGGAGAGGAAGGUAGAAUUCCCGGUGUAGCGGUGAAAUGCGUAGAGAUCGGGAGGAAUACCAGUGGCGAAGGCGGCCUUCUGGACUGACACUGACACUGAGGUGCGAAAGCGUGGGUAGCAAACAGGAUUAGAUACCCUGGUAGUCCACGCCGUAAACGAUGUCGACCAGCCGUUGGGUGCCUAGCGCACUUUGUGGCGAAGUUAACGCGAUAAGUCGACCGCCUGGGGAGUACGGCCGCAAGGUUAAAACUCAAAUGAAUUGACGGGGGCCCGCACAAGCGGUGGAGCAUGUGGUUUAAUUCGAUGCAACGCGAAGAACCUUACCUACCCUUGACAUCGACAGAAGCCGAGAGAGAUCUUGGUGUGCCUUCGGGAACUGUCAGACAGGUGCUGCAUGGCUGUCGUCAGCUCGUGUUGUGAAAUGUUGGGUUAAGUCCCGUAACGAGCGCAACCCUUGUCCUUAUUUGCCAGCACGUAAUGGUGGGAACUCUAAGGAGACUGCCGGUGACAAACCGGAGGAAGGUGGGGACGACGUCAAGUCAUCAUGGCCCUUACGGGUAGGGCUACACACGUGCUACAAUGGCCGGUACAAAGGGCAGCGAGCUCGCGAGAGUCAGCGAAUCCCUUAAAGCCGGUCUCAGUCCGGAUCGGAGUCUGCAACUCGACUCCGUGAAGUCGGAAUCGCUAGUAAUCGGAAUCAGAAGC
rnacentral:rRNA from 1 species